UGAUUCUCAGAGAGAUUGAGUAACCCCAAAUCACCUGGGCUCUGCUGAACUUGUUGAGAUUGACCACCAUCUCUCCAAGCCCUACCAGCCUGGUCCCCUGUCUGGUAGGAUGUUGCCUGAACUGCCCCCCACCUCUCUCAUUUCUUUCAGCACACACUGAACCACUCUUCCCUCACUGUUGCCCUGGAAGACAAUACCUCCUUGGGGAGAAUGUACAGUCUAGGACUAGAGAAAAUGGGAGCAGAGGCUAUUUCCUGAAUGAGUUAGAAAAGGGGGAAUUCCUUAGGGAGGGAGAAGGGAUGGUGAGUUGGCUCUUUGGAGGAGGUUGAGAAUGCCAGAGACUGGCUUAGAUGUAUUGUCUCCCUACAGUGAUUUAUUUUUAGUUGUGGGGAUGGAGGUAGUUUGGAGACCUGGAGAAGAAACUGAGGAAGAGGGGAGGGCCACCCAGAAGUGAGUAGGAGGUUUUCAGUCGAGUUCUCUGCCUGUUUAAGCAAAUUGAGGAAUUCAGACAGCUAAGGAGAGAAGGGAUUGGCUGAGAUGUACUGGAGGGGGUGGCUUCUUUUCCUCCAUAGAUUUAAGUAGGGGCCAGAGAGGUUGGAGAAGAUGCUCUGACCAAGUGUAUACUUGCUAUUUGCUGCACCUCACCAUGGCACAGACCCUGAAGCUGGUGAAAAAGGUGUCACAGUUUACCCGACUGAUUCCAGAACUAGGUGUAAAGCUGGGCUUGAAGGGCAAGGAGAGAACCUCCUCCGGCUUGACAGACCUUCCCGGUCCUUCUACUCUCAGCUUCCUAACAGAACUUUUCUGCAAAGGGGGGCUGUCCCGUCUACAUGAGCUCCAGAUACAAGAUUCUGCUCGCUUCGGUCCAAUAUGGUUUGCCAGCUUCGGGCCGGUGCGGACCGUAUAUUUGGCAGCUCCUGCAUUGAUCGAGCAGCUGCUCCGACAGGAGGGUCCCUACCCGGAGCGCUGCAGCUUCUCUCCUUGGGUGGAGCACAGGCGACGUUGCCACCAGGCCUGUGGACUGCUCACAGCGGAAGGAGACGAAUGGCAAAGGAUCCGGAGCCUCCUGGCCCCGCUUCUGCUCCGGCCCCGAGCCUCCGCUGACUACGCGGAGACUCUGGACGGUGUGGUUUGCGACCUGGUGCGCUUGCUACGGAGAAAGAAGAGCCUUCUAGGAGGAUCAGCCGACCUCGUCCGAGAUGUGGCUGGAGAAUUCUACAAGUUCGGCCUGGAAGGCAUUGGGGCUGUACUCCUGGGCACCCGGCUAGGUUGUCUAGAGCCUGAAAUGCCCCCAGAAACGGACACCUUCAUUCGCGCAGUGAGCUCCGUAUUUGUGUCCACACUACUGACCAUGGCGAUGCCAAACUGGCUGAAUCGGCUCCUGCCUGGACCCUGGGAUCGCCUGUGUCGGGACUGGGACCAGAUGUUUGCUUUUGCCCAGAAGCACAUGGAGCUGAGGAAGGCUGAGGCAGCCACAAAGUCUAUAGGGGAGCCUAAAAAUGCCAAUGUUUCUAGACCUCACUUGACCCACUUCCUGUUCCAGAAAGAGCUACCAUAUGCCUCUAUCCUGGGAAACAUUACUGAGUUACUUCUGGCUGGUGUUGACACAGUCUCCAAUACACUUUCCUGGGUUCUAUAUGAACUUGCACAUCACCCAGAAAUUCAGACUGCACUCCAUGCUGAGAUCACAGGUGCCAUGGCCCCUGGGUCUUCCACCCACCCACCAGCUACUACUUUGGCCCAACUGCCCCUUCUGAGAGCUGUAGUGAAGGAGGUACUGAGGCUAUACCCUGUGGUACCUGGAAAUUCUCGUGUCCCAGACAAAGAUAUCUGUGUAGGUGAUUAUAUCAUCCCAAAAAAGACCCUGGUCACACUGUGUCACUAUACCACAUCUCGAGAUCCUGACCAGUUCCCAGAACCAAAUGCUUUCCACCCAGAAAGAUGGCUGGGGGGACAGUCAGCUCCCCAUGCUUUUGCCUCUCUCCCCUUUGGCUUUGGCAAACGAAGUUGUAUAGGAAAGCGCCUAGCAGAACUUGAGCUAAACCUGGCUCUGGCCCAGAUCCUGAUCCACUUUGAAGUCAGGCCAGAGCCAGGUGCUGGGAUCAUCAAGCCAAUGACCAGGACAGUGCUGGUACCUGAGAGAAGCAUCAAUCUGAAGUUUGUGAACCGAUAAAGAUGUGAUUUAUCUGUUUUCCUUUUCCCCCAUUCCUUGAUAGAAAAGGAUAAAUAGACACAAGUACUCCAAGUGUCUGGAAAAUACUUCUUCCCUCUUCUCCAUAGAGAGGACAAGGUCCUUUUGUGCUGAACUGGAGAAUGAUCAAAUCAAAGGCCUUGAGAAAGAUCUGGACAAAGGACGAGAAAGUUCAUCUGUUGAACACACACUAUGCAUUUGGUCUAGACCAGUGAGAUUGUGGACCACAAGGUUAAUUUUGACUUUAAGCCACAUAAAACAAAGGUCUGAGGAGCUGUCUGAUUCCAUCUUUUUCCAUCCAUCCUCUGAAGCCCUCUGAGCCUUGGACAUGUGGUAAUUCUGGAUCUUCCCUCCUGAAUUGGUUUCCCUGGCACUGGAAGUGACCUGAUGAACAAUGGGUGGUCUGGGCACCUGGAAGAGUUUGUUGCAUCACUGACCCAGGCAUGUUGCUAUCUGCUAUGGGGAGCAAGCAGCCAAGCCUGGCUUCCUACAAAAAAA